ACGCACGCUGGCGGCGUGCCUAAUACCUGCAAGUCGAACGCACUCUCGUUUAGAUUGACGGAGUUUGCUCCUGAUUGAUAAACAUUUGAGUGAGUGGCGGACGGGUGAGUAACACGUGGGUAACCUGCCCUAAAGUGGGGGAUAACAUUUGGAAACAGAUGCUAAUACCGCAUAAAACCUAACACCGCAUGGUGUAGGGUUGAAAGAUGGUUUCGGCUAUCACUUUAGGAUGGACCCGCGGUGCAUUAGUUAGUUGGUGAGGUAAAGGCUCACCAAGACCGUGAUGCAUAGCCGACCUGAGAGGGUAAUCGGCCACACUGGGACUGAGACACGGCCCAGACUCCUACGGGAGGCAGCAGUAGGGAAUCUUCCACAAUGGACGAAAGUCUGAUGGAGCAACGCCGCGUGAGUGAAGAAGGUUUUCGGAUCGUAAAACUCUGUUGUUGGAGAAGAAUGUAUCUGAUAGUAACUGAUCAGGUAGUGACGGUAUCCAACCAGAAAGCCACGGCUAACUACGUG
rnacentral:rRNA from 1 species